CAACUCGCCUGCAUGAAGUCGGAAUUGCUAGUAAUCGCAGAUCAGCAUGCUGCGGUGAAUACGUUCCCGGGCCUUGUACACACCGCCCGUCACACCAUGGGAGUCGGUAACACCCGAAGUCGGUAGCCUAACCGUAAGGAGGGCGCCGCCGAAGGUGGGAUUGAUGACUGGGGUGAAGUCGUAACAAGGUAUC
rnacentral:rRNA from 1 species